AUAAUCAUAUUAGAAGGGAUGAUGGGUGGCCGAUGAAGAACUAAUCUUAUUUCAAACAUUUGAGAAUUAUUUUUCAAAUUAAAAAAUAGGAUUAGUCUGCCCAUUUUCCAUAUAAUUUUUUUAAGCUAUUCAUUAAAUAGCUUAUUUUCGUUAUGAAAAAUGCAACUAAUCCUUCCAAAUUCAUUUGGGAGGAUUUUUUU
rnacentral:sRNA from 1 species